rnacentral:rRNA from 1 species
AACGAACGCUGGCGGCAUGCCUAACACAUGCAAGUCGAACGAGACCUUCGGGUCUAGUGGCGCACGGGUGCGUAACGCGUGGGAAUCUGCCCUUGGGUUCGGAAUAACUCAGAGAAAUUUGAGCUAAUACCGGAUGAUGACGUAAGUCCAAAGAUUUAUCGCCCAGGGAUGAGCCCGCGUAAGAUUAGCUAGUUGGUGGGGUAAAGGCCUACCAAGGCGACGAUCUUUAGCUGGUCGAGAGGAUGAUCAGCCACACUGGGACUGAGACACGGCCCAGACUCCUACGGGAGGCAGCAGUGGGGAAUAUUGGACAAUGGGCGAAAGCCUGAUCCAGCAAUGCCGCGUGAGUGAUGAAGGCCUUAGGGUUGUAAG